rnacentral:rRNA from 1 species
UACGUAGGGGGCAAGCGUUGUCCGGAUUUAUUGGGCGUAAAGAGCGUGUAGGCGGCUAGGUAGGUCCGUUGUGAAAACUCGAGGCUCAACCUCGAGCUGUCGAUGGAAACCAUCUGGCUAGAGUCCGGAAGAGGAGAGUGGAAUUCCUGGUGUAGCGGUGAAAUGCGCAGAUAUCAGGAAGAACACCCGUGGCGAAGGCGGCUCUCUGGUACGUGACUGACGCUGAGACGCGAAAGCGUGGGGAGCGAUCCGG